GCUUGCUCCCCGGGUGACGAGUGGCGGACGGGUGAGUAAUGUCUGGGAAACUGCCCGGUGGAGGGGGAUAACUACUGGAAACGGUAGCUAAUACCGCAUAACGUCUUCGGACCAAAGUGGGGGAUCUUCGGACCUCACGCCACCGGAUGUGCCCAGAUGGGAUUAGCUGGUAGGUGAGGUAACGGCUCACCUAGGCGACGAUCCCUAGCUGGUCUGAGAGGAUGACCAGCCACACUGGAACUGAGACACGGUCCAGACUCCUACGGGAGGCAGCAGUGGGGAAUAUUGCACAAUGGGCGCAAGCCUGAUGCAGCCAUGCCGCGUGUAUGAAGAAGGCCUUCGGGUUGUAAAGUACUUUCAGCGGGGAGGAAGGCGGUGAGGUUAAUAACCUUGCCGAUUGACGUUACCCGCAGAGGAAGCACCGGCUAACUCCGUGCCAGCAGCCGCGGUAAUACGGAGGG
rnacentral:rRNA from 1 species